rnacentral:rRNA from 1 species
CGCCUCUUGCUAAUAAACCAUGUAUUAGAGGUCCCGCCUGCCCAGUGACUAUAAGUUAAAUGGCCGCGGUAUUAUGACCGUGCAAAGGUAGCGUAAUCACUUGUCUUCUAAAUAAAGACCCGUAUGAAUGGUGUGACGAGGGUUUAACUGUCUCCCUUACCCUGUCAAUGAAAUUGAUCUGCCCGUGCAGAAGCGGACAUAUAAACAUAAGACGAGAAGACCCUAUGGAGCUUUAGGCCAAAAAUUAAACAUGUAAAGAAAUAAAAAACUCAACAAGAUAAACAAAAAAAUUUAAACUUAUUGUGAUAUAAUACAAUGUGCCUUCGGUUGGGGCGACCACGGGGAAUAAUUAAGCCCCCGAAUGGAAUGGAAUAAGAACUUCCCAAAAUAAGAGCUACAGCUCUAAUUAACAGAAAAUCUGACCAUAAUAAUGACCCAGGAAUAUAUUAUUUCUGAUCAAUGAACCAAGUUACCCUAGGGAUAACAGCGCAAUCCUUUCCCAGAGACCAUAUCGACGAAAGGGUUUACGACCUCGAUGUUGGAUCAGGACAUCCUAAUGGAGCAGCCACUAUUAAGGGUUCGUUUGUUCAACGAUUAAUAGUCCU